rnacentral:rRNA from 1 species
GACAGAGGGUGCAAACGUUGUUCGGAAUUAUUGGGCGUAAAGGGUGCGUAGGCGGUUUGACAAGUCUGAUGUGAAAUCUAUGGGCUCAACCCAUAGUCUGCAUCGGAAACUGUCGGGCUUGAGUAUGGGAGAGGUGAGUGGAAUUUCCGGUGUAGCGGUGAAAUGCGUAGAUAUCGGAAGGAACACCUGUGGCGAAAGCGGCUCACUGGACCAUUACUGACGCUGAGGCGCGAAAGCUAGGGGAGCAAACAGG